CCAUGCCGUAAACGUUGGGCACUAGGUGUGGGGCUCAUUCCACGAGUUCCGUGCCGCAGCAAACGCAUUAAGUGCCCCGCCUGGGGAGUACGGCCGCAAGGCUAAAACUCAAAGGAAUUGACGGGGGCCCGCACAAGCGGCGGAGCAUGCGGAUUAAUUCGAUGCAACGCGAAGAACCUUACCAAGGCUUGACAUACACCGGAAACUUCCAGAGAUGGUUGCCCCGCAAGGUCGGUGUACAGGUGGUGCAUGGUUGU
rnacentral:rRNA from 1 species